AUUAUAGGUUACGUGUACCACCAUUUCAUUUUUUUGUAUGCAUAUCGAACACGUCACAUCCAUUAAGAUAAAAAAAAAGUGUUUUCAACCUUCCUGUAAUCAAUCAUUCAGUUUUCAUUACUAAGCAAUACAAAGAUACGAGUAUUUUAUAGAGUUGCACAAAAAAAUCAAACAACUUUUUAAAGUUAACGCAAAGAUUUGCAACUCAAACGCGGAGUUCCUCGAAAAAAUUCUGUUUAAUCGGGCUAAAAUCGUUAACGUUGCAUAAUGUAACUAACAUUAGACAUGAAUUCAAGGAUUCUUGCACAAAUUAAACAGUUUUAUAAUCAAAACGUAAAAACUUCUUUAAAAUUAAAAAAAAAAGAAAUAAAACAUAAAUCAAACAACUUUGACAGCUAGGCAACAGCUGUUAAAGCGGCGAAAAAAAUCGUGCAGCACCUGCUCACAGGUUCUUAAAUUACAAUUAAAUAUUUUUUUUGUUAUACUUAUUGUAAAUUUUCCUAGCGCAAAUCACGCUUUUUUUGUAAUGCAAUUUACACUGAAAGCUUGAUAAUGGCAAUACAGCGUUAUCAACCGACUUUGUAACUAACCGACGCCUAGUACGGAUGUGCACUUGCAGAUAUCCCAAUUGGAACUAGCUAAUGACAAUAUGAAAAUGUAUUAUGUAAUGUAUUGUAUUGUAUUAUGUAAAUAAAUUUAAUAUAAUUAAUUUAUGCGA